rnacentral:tRNA from 1 species
CGGGGCGUAGCGCAGCCUGGUUAGCGCGCGUGGUUCGGGACCACGAGGUCGGAAGUUCAAAUCUUCUCGCCCCGACCA